CGGAAUACGGGAUACUGCUGACGGUAUCUGCAGAAUAAGCACCGGCUAACUACGUGCCAGCAGCCGCGGUAAUACGUAGGGUGCAAGCGUAAUCGGAAUUACUGGGCGUAAAGCGUGUGUAGGCGGCUCGGAAAGAAAGAUGUGAAAUCCCAGGGCUCAACCUUGGAACUGCAUUUUUAACUGCCGAGCUAGAGUAUGUCAGAGGGGGGUAGAAUUCCACGUGUAGCAGUGAAAUGCGUAGAUAUGUGGAGGAAUACCGAUGGCGAAGGCAGCCCCCUGGGAUAAUACUGACGCUCAGACACGAAAGCGUGGGGAGCAAACAGGAUUAGAUACCCUGGUAGUCCACGCCCUAAACGAUGUCAACUAGCUGUUGGGGCCGUUAGGCCUUAGUAGCGCAGCUAACGCGUGAAGUUGACCGCCUGGGGAGUACGGUCGCAAGAUUAAAACUCAAAGGAAUUGACGGGGACCCGCACAAGCGGUGGAUGAUGUGGAUUAAUUCGAUGCAACGCGAAAAACCUUACCUACCCUUGACAUGUCUGGAAAGCCGAAGAGAUUUGGCCGUGCUCGCAAGAGAACCGGAACACAGGUGCUGCAUGGCUGUCGUCAGCUCGUGUCGUGAGAUGUUGGGUUAAGUCCCGCAACGAGCGCAACCCUUGUCAUUAGUUGCUACGCAAGAGCACUCUAAUGAGACUGCCGGUGACAAACCGGAGGAAGGUGGGGAUGACGUCAAGUCCUCAUGGCCCUUAUGGGUAGGGCUUCACACGUCAUACAAUGGUCGGGACAGAGGGUCGCCAACCCGCGAGGGGGAGCCAAUCUCAGAAACCCGAUCGUAGUCCGGAUCGCAGUCUGCAACUCGACUGCGUGAAGUCGGAAUCGCUAGUAAUCGCGGAUCAGAAUGUCGCGGUGAAUACGUUCCCGGGUCUUGUACACACCGCCCGUCACACCAUGGGAGUGGGUUUCACCAGAAGUAGGUAGCCUAACCGCAAGGAGGGCGCUUACCACGGUGGGAUUCAUGACUGGGGUGAAGUC
rnacentral:rRNA from 1 species